rnacentral:rRNA from 1 species
UACGUAGGGUGCAAGCGUUGUCCGGAAUUAUUGGGCGUAAAGGGCUCGUAGGCGGUCCAUCGCGUCGGGAGUGAAAAGCUGGGGCUUAACCCCAGUCCUGCUUCCGAUACGGGUGGACUAGAGGUAGGUAGGGGAGAACGGAAUUCCUGGUGUAGCGGUGAAAUGCGCAGAUAUCAGGAGGAACACCGGUGGCGAAGGCGGCUUCCUGGACAUUGACUGACGCUGAGACGCGAAAGCGUGGGGAGCAAACAGG